rnacentral:lncRNA from 15 species
GUCUAAUGUCAUUUUACAGGUAGAUAGAGCGGGAGAUUGGGGAGUAAUUGGAAGUAAUAACAGAUAGCUCUCUUUCAAUCCCACAGGACUUCUCUCCUCCUACGCCCCCAAAUUCCCAGAAGACUUCUCGUCAUAUUUGCUGUUGCGCAAAAGAAAUAUACAGCAGACGAACUGUGACCUUUGUCCCCCCUUCCCUGAAGGUCACCUGUCUACUUUACAUACACAGAUGAGGUCCUCUUUUCCGGAAAUGAUAAGACAAACAGCAGAGAAGAGCGCAGGAUCCACAUCACUGAGACUGCAGCCGCCAUGGAGGGCCUUUUUCCACUUCUCCAGCCAUGUUCGGCCAAGAUUUA